rnacentral:rRNA from 1 species
UACAUGGGGUGCAAACGUUGCUCGGAAUCAUUGGGCGUAAAGGGCGCGUAGGCGGAUAGUUUAGUCAGAGGUGAAAGCCCAGGGCUCAACCUUGGAAUUGCCUUUGAUACUGGCUAUCUUGAGUUCGGGAGAGGUGAGUGGAAUGCCGAGUGUAGAGGUGAAAUUCGUAGAUAUUCGGCGGAACACCAGUGGCGAAGGCGACUCACUGGCCCGAUACUGACGCUGAGGCGCGAAAGCGUGGGGAGCAAACAGG